ensembl:lncRNA
GGGGAGGAGACACCGCUUAAUGGGACGGGCAUGCAAUGUAGGCUACCACCGGCCCAUUUUCUAACCCAGUGGUGAAGAGUUUAACUUAAGAAAAAGAGACACUAAAAUACUGAGAAUUACGUCAUCUCUAGGCAACUGUUACCCCCUCCUCCUCCAUGCUGCACUCAAUCAGCACCACAAACUAGUUUCACACCUGGCCGAGUGGUCUCUAAGUCCAGUAAAGCUACAAUUAUCGCCCCAGGAUAUCAGUGUUGUGUACAUAAUAUUGUAUGCACUAAAAUGCUCUUACGUGACUGUGUGUUACGCGUGUUGUUUCUGUUACUAGAUCCCUAUGCGAUGCAACUGAUGCUGCUGUUUCAGAGGAAGAUGUUCUUUAAGUCAUUUCCUGUACCGUGGGGAUUUUUCAGCUUUGGGAGGCGGGUUUACAGCAGGAACCUGCCUCGCCAAACUUUGAUCAAAGUGGCUUGCCUUGUGGAGAGGAAGGUAAAGAGAUAUAUAUGUACAAGUGAAAGAUUAUCACAAGAGAUUAACCUGCUCUUUCAUCCUACUCCUCUGCCUUUUUCUUGUCCCCACUGUGCUGUAUCCUCAUGAGGUUUGUGUUAAUGUCUGAGCUAAAAUCCCGAUACCUCUGCUUAUCACCCAACCUCCAUCUCUCAUCCCCUAGCCUCUACAGUCAGCCUCUCAGAGUAGAUGUAGCAGUCCCGUCCACCUUCCACUGGGAUGCGGGAUCCCACCUUCAGCUCGUACAGUAGCUGCGUCUGUUUGACCUCAUCGCACAGUAUAUGACACCACCCCACGAGGUGCGCUUACAGACCAUCUCACAGCCACCAGAAGAUGUCACUCGAUGAGGGUAAAGUAGCUGAAACGGAAUCAUGUAGCACUAGUUUUACUGGAUGAAGCGAUGUGCGUUGCGUUUAGGGUCGAGGACGUGUUGAGCUUCGAUGUUUGUCUCCUUGGCGGUUCUUCAGUGUGUAGCAAAGACAGUCACCAAUCACUGUGAUGAGAAACUGUAAUACUGACCCGUAACUGUGAGCCUGACCCGUCCAGAAGCAUGUCUCUUGUUCCGCUCCUUUCUUUAGUCUUCUUGUCACGAUUUGCUGUCUUAACUGUACUCCAGAAGUAGAAGCAAUAACUGCUUUAAAUGGAAAGGAUUAUUCAUGUGUGUGUGU